rnacentral:sRNA from 1 species
CCGUGAUUUUUGGCCUGCUCCACAACUCCUUUGCGCAGGCUUCUCCCUCGCAUCGCCAGACACUCUUUGCUUCCUCCUUUCUUCUUUUCUCCCCAAUUCUGGUGAAUCCGGAUAUUUUUUGCCUUCCUUUCUUCUCUGUCAAUGAUUGUGCUGUGGAGGGCUUUUCUUUCUUAUGCAUAUACUCUGUAACGACCACCUCCUUUUUCCGUUGCUGUUUUGGUGCCGAUCCCCGGAGAAAACCUGAUUCAUUGAUCCGCCACCUUGAAGGAAUAACCAGGUUUGCUGUCUGGCAACCUGCUACCUUCAAAGAUUUUUGUGAGCUGUUGCGGGCAUUCAUCGUGUUGACAUAGAGUGUUGUUGGCCCUCCCGACGUUUACCCUUUUGGGACAUCUUCUUCCUGUUCGUCAACAACAAGGCCUGGAUAUUGCCAUAACUUGUCUGCGUCUGGCCAUUGACUGGACGGAUAAAAAAUCAAUAUAUCGGCACCUGGGAGAUCUAGGCAUUUUGAACAACGAUUCGGGCCGCAAUAUCCUUUGCCACCCCGAAAUCGACUGACUCCAAGUCCUAGCCGUUUGCCGUUACGUCCCUCACAUCGCUAAACUGUUCUAUCACACAUCGUUUUUUUUUCAUAUCCUCCAAUUAUCAUCGCGAAAGGAUAUCUGUUCAAGUAAACAACAGGCUGCUAUCCGUUGAAUACGAACGUAUCCCCUUCGCGCAAACUACCAACCAGCAUUAUUUGUUCGGUAUACGGACCAUGUGUGAUUGGUUCCAUGCGCAAAUAACAUAGAGCUCUUGUCACCAAGGUGUCUA